UUGGAGGGCAAGUCUGGUGCCAGCAGCCGCGGUAAUUCCAGCUCCAAUAGCGUAUAUUAAAGUUGUUGCAGUUAAAAAGCUCGUAGUUGAAUUUCGGGGUUCUACCGUUGGUCGGGCUUUGUCUGUACUGGUGUGUAGAAUUUCUACCUUCUGGGGAACCAUCAUGCUAUUAAUUUAGCGUGGUGGGAAACCAGGACCUUUACCUUGAAAAAAUUAGUGUGUUCAAAGCAGGCUUAUGUCUGAAUACAUUAGCGUGGAAUAAUAGAAUAGGACGGUGGUCCUGUUUUGUUGGUUUCUGAAUCACCGUAAUGAUUAAUAGGGAUAGUUGGGGGCAUUAGUAUUCAAUUGUCAGAGGUGAAAUUCUUGGAUUUAUUGAAGACUAACUUCUGCGAAAGCAUUUGCCAAGGAUGUUUUCAUUAAUCAAGAACGAAAGUUAGGGGAUCGAAGACGAUCAGAUACCGUCGUAGUCUUAACCAUAAACUAUGCCGACUAGGGAUCGGACGAUGUUAAUUUCUUAAUGACUCAUUCGGCGCCUUACGGGAAAC
rnacentral:rRNA from 1 species